GAUGAACGCUGGCGGCGUGCCUAAUACAUGCAAGUCGAGCGAACAGACGAGGAGCUUGCUCCUCUGACGUUAGCGGCGGACGGGUGAGUAACACGUGGAUAACCUACCUAUAAGACUGGGAUAACUUCGUGAAACCGGAGCUAAUACCGGAUAACAUGUUGAACCGCAUGGUUCAACAGUGAAAGACGGUCUUGCUGUCACUUAUAGAUGGAUCCGCGCCGCAUUAGCUAGUUGGUAAGGUAACGGCUUACCAAGGCAACGAUGCGUAGCCGACCUGAGAGGGUGAUCGGCCAAACUGGAACUGAGACACGGUCCAGACUCCUACGGGAGGCAGCAGUAGGGAAUCUUCCGCAAUGGGAGAAAGCCUGACGGAGCAACGCCGCGUGAGUGAAGAAGGUCUUCGGAUCGUAAAACUCUGUUAUUAGGGAAGAACAAAUGUGUAAGUAACUAUGCACGUCUUGACGGUACCUAAUCAGAAAGCCACGGCUAACUACGUG
rnacentral:rRNA from 1 species